CCCGUAGUUGCUCAUCGGGGGUUCUCCCCCCGUGUACUCUUCUAUGGGCAGGCCAGCAUCAGUCCGGGCGGUUGGAGAAAGACCUGUGUCAUGUAGCUGUUUUCGGGCAGUGUUAUAGGGCAGGUGGAAUGCAACCAGCCUGGACUGAGGUCCGCGCAUCUGCUAGGAUGCUGGCGUAAUGGCUGUAAGCGGCCCGUCUUGAAACACGGACCAAGGAGUCUAACAUCUAUGCGAGUGUUUGGGUGUCAAGCCCGAGCGCGUAAUGAAAGUGAACGGAGGUGGGAACCUUUUAGGUGCACCAUCGACCGAUCCUGAUGUCUUCGGAUGGAUUUGAGUAAGAGCAUAGCUGUUGGGACCCGAAAGAUGGUGAACUAUGCCUGAAUAGGGUGAAGCCAGAGGAAACUCUGGUGGAGGCUCGCAGCGGUUCUGACGUGCAAAUCGAUCGUCAAAUUUGGGCAUAGGGGCGAAAGACUAAUCGAACUAUCUAGUAGCUGGUUCCUGCCGAAGUUUCCCUCAGGAUAGCAGUAACGUUUUCAGUUUUAUGAGGUAAAGCGAAUGAUUAGAGGCCUGGGGGUUGAAACAACCUUCACCUAUUCUCAAACUUUAAAUAUGUAAGAAGUCCUUGUUUCUUAAUUGAACGUGGACAUUUGAAUGUAUCGUUACUAGUGGGCCAUUUUUGGUAAGCAGAACUGGCGAUGCGGGAUGAACCGAACGCGGGGUUAAGGUGCCAGAAUGCACGCUCAUCAGACACCACAAAAGGUGUUAGUUCAUCUAG
rnacentral:rRNA from 1 species